GAUGAAGAACGUAGCGAAAUGCGAUAAGUAAUGUGAAUUGCAGAAUUCAGUGAAUCAUCGAAUCUUUGAACGCACAUUGCGCCCCUUGGUAUUCCGAGGGGCAUGCCUGUUCGAGCGUCAUUUCAACCCUCAAGCACAGCUUGGUCUUGGGCUUCGCCGCUAACCCGGCGGGUCUUAAAAUCAGUGGCGGUGCCGUCGGGCCCUGAGCGCAGUAAUUUCUCUCGCUAUAGGGUCCCGGCGGAUGCUGGCCAGUAACCCCCAAUUUUCUAUGGUUGACCUCGGAUCAGGUAGGGAUACCCGCUGAACUUAAGCAUAUCAAUAGCGGAGGA
rnacentral:misc_RNA from 1 species